GUCCCGUUCGUCUAGUGGUCAAGGACACCGGGCUUUCAACUCGGAGAUCACGGGUUCGACUCCCGUACGGGAUGCCA
rnacentral:tRNA from 1 species